UACGGAGGGAGCUAGCGUUGUUCGGAAUUACUGGGCGUAAAGCGCACGUAGGCGGCUUUGUAAGUUAGAGGUGAAAGCCCGGGGGCUCAACCCCGGAAUUGCCUUUAAGACUGCAUCGCUUGAAUCCGGGGAGAGGUGAGUGGAAUUCCGAGUGUAGAGGUGAAAAUUCGUAGAUAUUCGGAAGAACACCAGUGGCGAAGGCGGCUCAC
rnacentral:rRNA from 1 species